UACCGCCGUUCGGGACGACGGUUUUCGGCGGCUGCGUACGGCGGACGGAAGAUCCUGUCACGUUUUGGUGCAUGCCGAUCCUUGCGCUUUGCCACCUCUGCACUACGGUUCGGUGUAAGGAGCGUUCUAGUCUGGAUGUUCCUGCUUUACACAACAAGGAGAAACAUCAUGGCUCAGGGAACCGUCAAGUGGUUCAACAGCGAGAAGGGCUUCGGCUUCAUCGCCCCGGCCGACGGCAGCCCGGACGUCUUCGUCCACUUCUCGGCUAUCCAGGGUGACGGCUACAAGUCGCUCGAGGAGAACCAGCAGGUCGAGUUCGACGCUGCGCAGGGCCCGAAGGGUCCGCAGGCGGAGAACGUUCGCCCCGUCUGACUUUCAGAUAGCGAAACCCCGGUGCUUCGGCACCGGGGUUUCGU
rnacentral:sRNA from 1 species